ensembl:lncRNA
CUCGGGCAGCUCGGGGCCGUGCGGGGACGGCCGUGCGGGGACGGCGAGCCCCGGGCCCCGCGCCGCCCGUGUGCGGGCCGUGCGAUCGCCGCUAACGGCCGGCCCCGCUCGGUGCGUUGCAGCCGGGAGCGCCUGGCACCGCGCUGACCGUCCGCCCGUGGAGCCGGCAGCGGAGGACGAGCGGCGGCACGACGAGGACCGGCACGACGACGACGACGACGAGGACGAGCGGAGCCUGCGGACGGCCCUCAAGAAGCUGCGGCUGGACGCGGCGCGGCGGCACGAGGACGAGGAGGAGCAGCAGCAGCAGCAGCAGGACGACGACGAGGACGAGGACGACGAGGACGAGGAGGAGCGCAGCCUGCGGACGGCCCUCCAGGAGCUGCGGGUGGACGCGGCGCGAUCCAUCUGUGAAACAGCCCUGUGCAGCCCUCCCGCAUCCCGUUCUGUGGAGGCUCACGCUUAUGUCAGUGACGUGACUGUGGAAGACCUGGCAGGGUACCUGGAACACCAUCUGCAUAUACCAAAGAAAAUGUCUGCCAUGGCAGAAAUGAUGUAUUCAUAACCAAACAGCAAAAACAGUCACAGUUCUAAGCGUUAUCAGAAAUUUAAAUGGCUCGUUUGUGCCAUAUUUGUAAUGUUCUAAAUGAUGUAUUCAUAACCAAACAGCAAAAACAGUCACAGUCCUAAGCGUUAUCAGAAAUUUAAAUGGCUCGUUUGUGCCAUAUUUGUAAUGUUCUGUUUCAUGUACAGUUUAGUUUUGUAAUUAAGAGAAAAACUGUACAUAGUUGCAUAGACUCCUGUGGCUGAAAUGAUGUAUACUUAACUGAAAGCCAUAUUCAGUCACAUAGUAAUACAGUUUAUUUUUGUAACUCGAAUAAAAACUGUAUAUAGUCUCAUAGAUUGGCAGAAUGGUUUGUUUCGGAAGGGGCCUCUGAGAUCAC